rnacentral:lncRNA from 1 species
GCCUGGCACUUCUGGUAGCUGGUCUGGCCAGGGACUGCUAAGCACCUCUGCAUAUGAGAGCAAAAGGAGGCUGAACACUCACCUCUAAGAGCUUUGAGUGCAGCUAGGAUUCAGGCUACUUCAUUGACCUUCGGACUGAGCAGCUGAAGUAUGGCAAUGGACGUGCACGGGUAGCUUUCAUACUUGGAAGAAGGCAGUAGGCCUGACACCUGCUCCAUGUCUCUGAAGCAGCCUUUGCUUCAUAUACUUCAAGAUUCAAGAGGAAGAAACCUUGACCCAAGAGCCUGAAAAAUGUACCCUAUCAUUAGUUCAUACUUUGAUUGUUCAGUCGCCUGCAUGGGACAACCUAGCACUUCAUUUCUCUCUUCCUCUCACAUAACACCUGUGGGAGUGUUGAUCUGAAGCUAGGUCACAGGCAUCCUGGGAUCAAGAUCCGUUUGAAGAGGACUAGAAGGUCUAUGGAGGUAGAUCAGCAGGUAACUACUUGCCUCACAAGACGGGCUACUGAGGGAAGACAAGUGGUGCUCCCCGAUCACUGUCCACAGAAGAUGAACCAGGUGGGAAGGAGGGGGGGCAUUGGUUCUCAGAGGUUUGUAAUCAUUUGCCUCUGAUCUCAACUCAUGCCAGGACCUUGCACUUUCCCCUAAAGCAGAUGCUUGAGAGCCAGGGCCCCGAGCUGUGAAGUGUGGGAUGUGUCCUUGGAGUUAGAACAGUGCUUGCAGAGAGUCUGAAGACAGGGCUCCUCCUCUUGCUCCUCAUUUUUGUCAGUGCCUUCAAACUGAGGGGGGAAGAGGCUCCAUUUUUUUUUUCUGGCUGAGAGGGAAAAAGAUCUUAUUUUCAUCCUACCACCACCUGACUCCGAAUGAGUUGCUUCCUAACUUGGUCACCUCUAGUUCACCAACUGCAAAUUUCCUUCCUUCCGUUCAUAGGAACCAGAAGAGAGCCACAUCUACCUGCAUUGCAUAGAAGCCUGGCUCCAGGCCUGAGCACCGCACAGAGGGUUUUCCAUCAAGGAAGACUUCUUUGAAGAACAUACCCAGACAGCUCCCUC